rnacentral:rRNA from 1 species
UACGUAGGGUGCAAGCGUUGUUCGGAAUUACUGGGCGUAAAGCGCGCGUAGGCGGUCUUGCAAGUCAGGGGUGAAAGGCCUGGGCUUAACCCGGGAGUGGCCUUUGAGACUGCGAGGCUUGAGAGUGGGAGAGGAUGGUGGAAUUCCCAGUGUAGAGGUGAAAUUCGUAGAUAUUGGGAAGAACACCGGUUGCGAAGGCGGCCAUCUGGCCCACCACUGACGCUGAAGCGCGAAAGCGUGGGGAGCAAACAGG